rnacentral:rRNA from 1 species
AGUGAACGCUGGCGGUAGGCCUAACACAUGCCAGUCGAACGGCAGCACAGUAAGAGCUUGCUCUUACGGGUGGCGAGUGGCGGACGGGUGAGGAAUACAUCGGAAUCUACUUUUUCGUGGGGGAUAACGUAGGGAAACUUACGCUAAUACCGCAUACGACCUACGGGUGAAAGCAGGGGAUCUUCGGACCUUGCGCGAUUGAAUGAGCCGAUGUCGGAUUAGCUAGUUGGCGGGGUAAAGGCCCACCAAGGCGACGAUCCGUAGCUGGUCUGAGAGGAUGAUCAGCCACACUGGAACUGAGACACGGUCCAGACUCCUACGGGAGGCAGCAGUGGGGAAUAUUGGACAAUGGGCGCAAGCCUGAUCCAGCCAUACCGCGUGAGUGAAGAAGGCCUUCGGGUUGUAAAGCCCUUUUGUUGGGAAAGAAAAGCAGCAGGUUAAUACCCCGCUGUUCUGACGGUACCCAAAGAAUAAGCACCGGCUAACUUCGUG